UACGUAGGGUGCGAGCGUUGUCCGGAAUUAUUGGGCGUAAAGAGCUUGUAGGCGGUCUGUCGCGUCUGCUGUGAAAAUCCGGGGCUCAACCCCGGACUUGCAGUGGGUACGGGCAGACUAGAGUGUGGUAGGGGAGACUGGAAUUCCUGGUGUAGCGGUGAAAUGCGCAGAUAUCAGGAGGAACACCGAUGGCGAAGGCAGGUCUCUGGGC
rnacentral:rRNA from 1 species